rnacentral:misc_RNA from 1 species
UUGUUCACUACCGGGAAGUAAAGGUAUAUUCUUGCCAUCCUCUAAUUCUUUCUGAUAUUGCUUCUUUUCUUUGACCUUUUUGUUUUUUCCUUUAGUGUCAGUCGUAACUUGUAACAGUCAACUUACAGCUGAGAAGCGGGUAUCUUUCCUUCCCGCAGUUUCUCAAGGCAACAUUGUAUAGAAGAAAUUCGCAUGAUAUGAUUUAUGGGCACAGUUUUAAAUGGAAUAAAGAGUAGGUAUAAAAUUGCAGAUUUGCAUUGUAAGGAGGCCUAGUUAUGUACAGGCAAUUUGUAUGGUAGGUUGGAGGACAACAGGCUCUCAAUUCAUGAUGCUAGUAUGGUAUCUUAACAUCAAAG